rnacentral:lncRNA from 1 species
GAACACUGGAACCCCAAAGACCUUCCUGUGCAUUUGUAAACAGCUGUUCCAUUGUGGCUGUAAACAGCUAGCUAGCUAAGCUAACUUAGUGUAGUUGUUUUUUUUACCAUUGUAUUCGUCGGUGGGAUGGUCCUUACUUCUGGGGGAAAUAAAAGUUUAUAGCUAGAUUUCCCAAAGAAUCAUUGCAGCGGGCUACAUUGCCUGCAUGGAUAGUAACGUUAGCAGCAGCAGGAGGUGGCGGCACCAGGAUGAUGUGUAGCACACGGUGGGUCCUAUCCUGUCCCUUCUGGACUAGUGACAAAGAACUGUCACAAUGAUGGACUGUGGAGCU